rnacentral:rRNA from 1 species
CCUACGGGUGGCAGCAGUGAGGAAUAUUGGUCAAUGGGCGGGAGCCUGAACCAGCCAAGUCGCGUGAGGGAAGACGGUCCUAUGGAUUGUAAACCUCUUUAGUCGGGGAGCAAUGCCGGGCACGUGUGCCCGGCUGGAGAGUCCCCGCAGACUAAGCACCGGCUAACUCCGUGCCAGCAGCCGCGGUAAUACGGAGGAUGCGAGCGUUAUCCGGAUUUAUUGGGUUUAACGGGUGCGUAGGCGGAUUUUUAAGUCAGCGGUAAAACGUCGGGGCUCAACCCGGGCCGGCCGUUGAAACUGGCGGGCUUGAGUGGGAGAGAAGUAUGCGGAAUGCGUGGUGUAGCGGUGAAAUGCAUAGAUAUCGCGCAGAACUCCGAUUGCGAAGGCAGCAUACCGGCGCCCGACUGACGCUGAGGCACGAAAGCGUGGGGAUCGAACAGGAUUAGAUACCCUGGUAGUC